AGCGAACGCUGGCGGCAGGCUUAACACAUGCAAGUCGAGCGCCCCGCAAGGGGAGCGGCAGACGGGAGAGUAACACGUGGGAACAUACCUUUUGGUUCGGAACAACUGAGGGAAACUUCAGCUAAUACCGGAUAAGCCCUUACGGGGAAAGAUUUAUCGCCGAAAGAUUGGCCCGCGUCUGAUUAGCUAGUUGGUGAGGUAACGGCUCACCAAGGCGACGAUCAGUAGCUGGUCUGAGAGGAUGAUCAGCCUCACUGGGACUGAGACACGGCCCAGACUCCUACGGGAGGCAGCAGUGGGGAAUAGUGGAAAAUGGGGGCAACCCUGAUCCAGCCAUGCCGCGUGAGUGAUGAAGGCCUUAGGGUUGUAAAGCUCUUUUGCCCGGGAAGAUAAUGACGGUACCGGGAGAGUAAGCCCCGGCUAACUUCGUG
rnacentral:rRNA from 1 species